CAGUCGCCGCGGUAAUACAGAGGGUGCGAGCGUUAAUCGGAUUUACUGGGCGUAAAGCGUGCGUAGGCGGCUUCUUAAGUCGGAUGUGAAAUCCCUGAGCUUAACUUAGGAAUUGCAUUCGAUACUGGGAAGCUAGAGUAUGGGAGAGGAUGGUAGAAUUCCAGGUGUAGCGGUGAAAUGCGUAGAGAUCUGGAGGAAUACCGAUGGCGAAGGCAGCCAUCUGGCCUAAUACUGACGCUGAGGUACGAAAGCAUGGGGAGCAAACAGGAUUAGAUACCCGAGUAGUCCCUGUUUCUUAUAA
rnacentral:rRNA from 1 species